rnacentral:rRNA from 1 species
CCCUACGGGGCGCAGCAGGCGCGAAAACUUUACAAUGCGGGAAACCGUGAUAAGGGAACACCGAGUGCCAGCAUCAUAUGCUGGCUGUCCAGAUGUGUAAACUACAUCUGUUAGCAAGGGCCGGGCAAGACCGGUGCCAGCCGCCGCGGUAACACCGGCGGCCCGAGUGGUGAUCGUUAUUAUUGGGUCUAAAGGGUCCGUAGCCGGUUUGGUCAGUCCUCCGGGAAAUCUGAUAGCUUAACUGUUAGGCUUUCGGGGGAUACUGCCAGGCUUGGAACCGGGAGAGGUAAGAGGUACUACAGGGGUAGGAGUGAAAUCUUGUAAUCCCUGUGAGACCACCUGUGGCGAAGGCGUCUUACCAGAACGGGUUCGACGGUGAGGGACGAAAGCUGGGGGCACGAACCGGAUUAGAUACCCGGGUAGUCCCAGCCGUAAACUAUGCUCGCUAGGUGUCAGGCAUGGCGCGACCGUGUCUGGUGCCGCAGGGAAGCCGUGAAGCGAGCCACCUGGGAAGUACGGCCGCAAGGCUGAAACUUAAAGGAAUUGGCGGGGGAGCACAACAACGGGUGGAGCCUGCGGUUUAAUUGGACUCAACGCCGGACAACUCACCGGGAACGACA